AUUAGAAAACAUGACUCAAGAGAGAAAUAACAAGUCUGUCACGUAUUAGAAAAUUAGUUUUGCCUAGUGAUCGAAAUCAUUACAGGAAUAAAAACUAGAAUCCGACUUUGGAAGAACUUCCAUUCUCUUCUAAAACAGCUUCCACUAGCGAAAGUCGUUCUUGCAGAUGUUUAAUUGCAUAUAGCAAUGGAAAAAGAUAAUAGGUCAGAGAUUAAUAGUUUACACCCAUUUUUCAAACACAAUGGUUGUUUGUUUUGAACCUACACCAUGUUCACCCUAUAUCAGUAGUUUCCUAGUCACACCAGCAUAAACAACAGAUAUGAGUUUGAUAAAAAAAUAAAAAAAUAAAAAUUGGUAGAUUUGUGUAUGCCCCCUUGGGAACUAAUUCUAUGUGGAAUUUUGUUGUAUGGGCUAUGGAGUAAAUACAUGUUGCAUGACGUGACUUAUUCGAGUUCAUUAGAGGGUCAUGGCGAUGCCCAUGGAAGUACAAGCUCAGGUUGCAGAUUUCAGAGUGGAUGAAUAAGAAGGGAUAUGCAUAUUUUCGCCGGUUGAGCAUGCCGUGCAGCUGGAUUUGAUUGGGAAGGAGGAAUUUUGCACCAAUUGCUGUGAAAUGAAGCCAGUUUGAGUCUGUGGGUCGAAUGGUAUUGGACAUUGUUGCAUCAUGGAGCAUGUGAUUGCUGGGAAGUUUAAGCUGGGGAGGAAGAUUGGGAGUGGGUCUUCAGAGAACUCUAUUUAGGUGUAAAUGUACACAGUGGGGAGGAGGUGACUGUUAAGCUGUUUCAGGGCAUUUUGCAUUUGAAGGAUUUGAAACUGAUGUAAGCUAAAUGGGUGUGAAACAAGAUGGUGGCACUAUACUGUGCCUGCAAUGGAACAGUAGAAGAUUUCUGAUGAGUUAGAUAAGAGAGUGAAGAAGUUUCUUAGAGGAGCAGAAGCAAACUUGGAGGGCUUGAAAGAUAAGAAAUCGAAGGGUCAACUUGCUGUUAGAGAAGAAUUGUAUGGAAAAUCUGCACAAGCUGCUGCCAAGGCUGGGAAGACAGUUAAAGCUGCCAUGCUUGGUGAGAUAAUAAAUUACUUGAAGUUAAGGCUCCAAGUAAAGGUAGAGUUGUUUCAACUAUAAUGCAUGUUUUCUUUUUCACUUGAAUGAUAGAAUUCCGAAUUACUCAAUCCUCUCAUCUAUGUCUAUUGUAUUACAUUCAAUUAUUUGCUGCAACUUUUCUGUUCUUAAUAUGGUCAUUAAUUUUAAACGAUUGUUAUUCCAUACAAGCUUACUUUCCUUUGAUAUUAACAUUUUCUGAUAAAAUGGUAGAAAUCCACUUGCAUUUGACAAAUAAUUGUCAUCAUUAUAGCAGUACAAUGCACAUCCACAUAAUUGGGCAUAGUAAAGAAAAAAUUGAAUGCUUCUUAUAGACAUUUUUUUUCAGUACUCCCAAACCUUCUUGCAUUGUACAAAAGGUUCGGAAUUUCUUUUUAAAUGUGUCAAUACAUUAUUAUUAUUUUUUCUUUUGUGCUUUGGCAAUAUGACUUAUCUUGCCAAAAGAUGUAUGUGGGUUUUGAGGGUUCAGGGAUCCCCUUUUCUCAAGAUGACUGGAUUGGUCCUUACCUCCAUGUGUUGUUCAGCCUAUUGAGAGCUGGUAUGCAUGAGAACUUUAAGUAAUCAUUGCCAUAAAAAGUAGAAGGGAUGACUCACACCAGGAAUCAGUUAUCUCAUCAGCAGCUUUAUUUUUAUCUAAGAUCGAAUUUGAUACUUGUAGGUGUAUACAGAUUAAGUCGAUUGUUAAGAUGGCAAUUUAAUCACUUUUCAACGUCCGAUGUCUUCAUCCUCCCUAUUCUGGAUUUUUACUUACUUGAAAUGAAUAGAUUCUAGGCAUUACGUUUAGCAAAAUGAGCAAUGGAUGCUAACUCAUUUUUUUUUACAUUCACAGCAAUAUGGGCACUUUUCUUGGCAAUAUAGUGCUUAGCUUAAAAUUAGAAUGUGAUUCAGUUGUAUUGAAUUUGUUCGAUUAACCAUUGGUCCAUUUAUAGUUCAUUUAAUCUUUUGAAUUAGUAAGCUAUUGUGUUGUGUCCUUUAGAUUUCUUAGCAUGCUAUUGAUAUGGAAAACAUCAUCUAUCUGUUCUAUUUAUCGCAUGAUAUAAGAAUCAAAGUAGACUUGGCAUCCCUUUUGUGGCCUUUUUUGUGUUAGCAGAUGCCAUCAGAAAGACAAAAACAUAUCGGCUACAAAGUGCAAUGAAUGCUACGGGUUACUAAGUUUUUCCAUAUGCUUUCAUUGUGGCAUUGCCCUUUCUGCGACAAGUAAGCAUUAUAAUUUCACUUUGUGGAAUGAUAUUAAGUUAACUUAUGGAAUAAUAUAGGGUUGUGUCAUGCAUGAAAACUGUGAAUCCAUUUCAUCAUGCAUUUUUUAGUUAAACUACUACGUUUUUCUUCAAUUGACUGCAACUCAUGCCGCAGUUUGCUUCACAAACCUCUACGGUUAGCUUCCAUAUAGUAUAUUGCAAGUUUGAGGAUAUCUCUACAUCUUAAUUUCUGCUCUCUUUGGCUGCUUCAAGUUUGUAAUUUUAAGUGCUACACUGCCACUUGAUUUGAUUAUAAAAAUGUAAAACAAAAUCCGUCCAUAAUUUACAAAUUUGUAUUCGAUUUUUGAUGUUUUUCCAGUGUAAGGCAUAUGUUGCACAAGCAUGUAAAUGGUACAAAUUAUUUGGUUUUGGACAGUAAGCUUUGAGUUUUACAAUCCUUGCGAGGGGAUUGUGACUCAGGUGAACAAAUUUACUGUA